UACAGAGGGUGCAAGCGUUAAUCGGAAUUACUGGGCGUAAAGCGUGCGUAGGCGGUUAUUUAAGUCAGGUGUGAAAGCCCCGGGCUCAACCUGGGAAUUGCAUUUGAGACUGAAUAGCUAGAGUGCGGAAGAGGGAAGCGGAAUUUCCGGUGUAGCGGUGAAAUGCGUAGAUAUCGGAAGGAACACCAGUGGCGAAAGCGGCUUCCUGGUCCAGCACCGACGUUCAGGCACGAAAGCGUGGGGAGCAAACAGG
rnacentral:rRNA from 1 species